rnacentral:rRNA from 1 species
UCGAGGAUCUUCGGCAAUGGACGCAAGUCUGACCGAGCGACGCCGCGUGCGGGAUGAAGGCCUUCGGGUUGUAAACCGCUGUCAGUGGGGAGAAAAUUCGUAGGGGUACUCUCCUACGAUUGAUCUAUCCGCAGAGGAAGUGUGGGCUAAGUUCGUGCCAGCAGCCGCGGUAAGACGAACCACACAAACGUUAUUCGGAAUUACUGGGCUUAAAGGGUGCGUAGGCUGCGCAGAAAGUUGGGUGUGAAAUACCUCGGCUCAACCGAGGAACUGCGCUCAAUACUACUGUGCUUGAGGGAGAUAGAGGUGAGCGGAACUUAGGGUGGAGCGGUGAAAUGCGUUGAUAUCCUAAGGAACACCCGUGGCGAAAGCGGCUCACUGGAUCUUCUCUGACGCUGAGGCACGAAAGCUAGGGUAGCGAACGGGAUUAGAUACCCCCGUAGUCC